AACGAACGCUGGCGGCAGGCCUAACACAUGCAAGUCGAACGAUGUAGCAAUACAUAGUGGCGCACGGGUGAGUAACGCGUGGGAAUGUACUGUUUAGUGGGGGAUAACUUCGGGAAACUGAAGCUAAUACCGCAUACGCCCGAGAGGGGAAAGAUUUAUCGCUAAACAAUCAGCCCGCGUGAGAUUAGGUAGUUGGUGGGGUAAUGGCCUACCAAGCCUACGAUCUCUAGCUGGUCUGAGAGGAUGAUCAGCCACACUGGAACUGAGACACGGUCCAGACUCCUACGGGAGGCAGCAGUGGGGAAUAUUGGGCAAUGGACGAAAGUCUGACCCAGCCAUGCCGCGUGAGUGAUGAAGGCUUUAGGGUUGUAAAACUCUUUCGCCGAUGAAGAUAAUGACGGUAGUCGGAGAAGAAGCCCGGCUAACUUCGUG
rnacentral:rRNA from 1 species